CGUGCCUCAGAGACCAGAGAAGUGUGGACGCCUGACGUGGCCGGCGCGCGCGAGGCCUGUCCUGGGCUUUUGUGGACUCUGGAGCGGGCGGUGGUCCGGAGUGUCCGUGUCUUUUGUCUCUGGGAGGAGAAGAGCCAAAGGUCUAUGACUGGAAGCAUAUCAGGAAGAUCUAUGCAAAAGUCAAGAUGAUAAAGUUUCUGGCUCACUUUUAUAGCAUGGGGAGCUGAGAAGCACACCAUGAAUCAGGGGACCUGGAGUUCUCAGCAGGAGCCUGGGAUCCUGUUUCUGGCCAGACUUGGGCCAUGGCAGCUUUGGAAGCAAGUUGCAUCAUGAAAUCACAACUCACAGGCAGAACAAAGGAGCCCUGUGUUCUCACUAUGAAGAUAUGACAUUGGGCCCAAGCCCGGCACGUCUGAGCUGUUUCUCAGCAUUUACCACGUGCAGGACACCAGUCUAAGUGCUUUCUUUCUAACACAUUCAGCGUCUGUAUCAACCGUACGAGCAGUGGGCACUGAACCAGGGCCUCUGCUGGAAGCAGGACAGCAGGAGCUGGAAGGAGGGAGCAUCCCUUGUUCACGCCGCAUUCCCUGGGACGGGUGCAUGGAACCAUGUGCACUCGAGGAAGCUGUUGGAAGAAGAUACCCUCCUGGACAACGGGACACAGAGCCUGACAGAACCAGACCAGUGCACCCAGCUGGUGUGACCCAUGCUCCCGAGAACCAGGUCCAGGGAAGUCAGCAAGGAGGGCUCCACACCCAUCAGUCUGGCAAACCUUAAAUGCAAGAACUACAAGCACAGUGGAGCAAAAGGGACACUUACAGAAAAGGAGAAAUCCAGAGUUGGCCUGCGCAGAAAGAAGGCUGUGGCUGUCUCGUCUCUUUUCCGCUGGCUGUGGAGCAGGCCCUCUGCACCUGGGUGGCAGGUCCAGGCUCUCCGUCGGAGGCAGCCAGGAGAGCUGCCUCGAGGGGGAGGCCCACACCUGGGAAAGCACUCUGACCUCCUGCUCAGAAGCCCCCAUUCAUUCACAUAGCCUGGCAGCAUAUUUUCAAAUAAAUCACAAGCACAACAGUUACAUUCUCCAAACCACGCUGGAAAAAGGAUUAUGGUAUUUACUAUGGGGACAGGAAGAUUGAUUCUCACCCAGAAGAUCUGCCAGGUUCUUGAUUUAGGGAGCUGGUGAUCAGCAUGGGUUAGCCCUGAUUUAUAUUGGCUUAUUCUCCCCACGGCCCCCUCUCCAGGGUCCAGGGACACUUGGUGGGAUGGCCCGGAGUGAGUACUAUCCCACUGGGUCCCUAUGAGAUGGUGCACCCAGGCCAUGGGCACAGGCAGAGAUCACUUCCCACCACCACCUUCCACUGCACCCCUGAUCCUGACCCUGCCUGGUGGCUCCUGGCACCCCUGGGUAAAGUCCGACUUCUUAGCCUGGAAUUACCAGACCUCCUGGUUGGGCCUCUGCCACCAGUUGGUCCUGCUUGUGGCCCUGGCACUUGUCCCCAUACAUGACUGGUUCUCUCUGCCCUUGGGCAGCUCAUGGUCCAGUGCUGGACACUGACCUGUGGCCAGUCCCGAGAGACAGGUGGGCUGAGGCGCAUGGAGGAGGCAACGUUCAUUCCUCUUCCUGCCUGCCAUCUGUGCACCCACGAUGUCCUCAGGUCACCUUCUGGUCCUCGCGCCUCACUCACCAUCCACGUGCUCUUUCUGCAUUUCCUUAGAGCCCACGUGGGGCCCCAGGACUCAUGGCAGCCCAGGCACUGUGCACCAACCUGACCGGGACUAGCACUUGCCCUUGAGAAGGAAUGUCUAGCUGACCAGGUGCUUCCUUUGGGGUCACUGAAGGAUCAGUGGGUAGUGUAGGACAGUGGGGUUUGGAACUUGGCUGUGGACCAGAUGGACUUGGGACUGCACCCCAAUAGCUGGCAGCAGGCCCCAUGCAGACCUCUUGUUUUCUCUUGAAGCCAGCACUUCCAGGGCCACCUCCUGGCCUGAGCAGAUUCCAUUCGGUCCGGUUCUUACCCACCCUCAUCCGGGGGGCCCCCCAGCCCUGCCUCCAGCCCCCUAUUGUGUUUCUCUCGGCCCGCCUUCCACAGUGGAUGUUGCCUGGAUCCGCCUGUGCCCUGGAACACAGGUGCCAUGGAACACAGAGGAGAGGCUAAUACACGUGUGUCCCAGCUCCACCACACUCUGGCAGGGGAGCUCAGAGUCCCAGCUGCCAGACACAGAGGUUUGCGUUCGGGUGGAUGUGAUUUCAUGGUUUUCUCCAAAACAACCAUGAGUGUUUGUGUAACUAAAAAGCACAUCAUGGUGAUUUUCCUAAAAUAAAGGAAGAGUUUAUUUCAUCAUGAUGAAGGUAAGAUUCUUGGGAGCAAUUGUGAGGUGUUGCGACGUUUCCUGUAUGAGAGUCAGGAGGCCUCCCGUUAGCAUUGCCAGCCGAUGGCUCCCCAGGUCCGGCCUGCAUGCCCUUCGUAGCUGGGAAUUUGCUUCUUCCCACCAGCGCCAGCUGGCAGCUGACAGUGUGUCCACUUCCUCGGACCCCACCCUCGGCCACUCCCCCCGCCCCUGGCCACUCUUCCUGGGAUGGCACCCCACGGCCCUGGACACUGGGGUAUAGGCACUAGUCCUAUCUUCCCUGGGUGAGGCUCAGCCCACCCCCUAGCCCACACCUGCAGGUGCUACUCACCUUGUCUGGACAGCAGCAGAGUCUCCUGAUGGUGACGCAGGGAGGAUCAGGGAAGAUGCAACCUGACACCCACCCCUGCCCACCAUGGGUGGCCUCUGCUGGUGUGGGGAAGCAGGCCAACUGGCCAACGACCAGUUUGUAAAUUAUUUUUUUAAAUUUGAGUUUUGCUACAGCCAUUCUUCCUUGUUCUCUCCCAUCGGAGGUUGAGGAGCUUGUGGGUGUUGAGUCUGGCACCCAGCUGCCCUGGAGUGGAGUAGCACCUCCUAGGUCUCAGAGCUCUGUGGGCUCAGCUGCUCCAGCCUGGCCAGAAGCCCUGUGCCACUUGCCACAGCCAGGUGGAUGUGGUUGUGGACCUGCAAGUACAUGGAGGAAGUCACUGCGGGCACAGGGAGCAGACCCAGCAGAGGGUGCAGGACAGGUGUCUCCUCCAGAAGAAGAUCCAGCAAGAGGCAGGAGACAACUUAACAAAAAUAAAUAAAUGAGAACAUAGGUAAGAGCUCCUGUGGAGAUCCCACAGGAGCAAGGUAACACCGUCCUAAAACUUAAAAAAAAAAAAAAAGUGUGGUUUUUUAAUUUCAAAA